AGAUAACAAAACCUUCAGUAAUGAGAUGAGUUUCUCUACUUUCAUAUUUCAAUUCUCUCCCUUCAGUUUCCUAAUUCUCUCUCUCCAAUUUCUCUAGAUUUAUAACACGUUAUCAGUGCGAAUUCGCUUUCAAAAAUACUAGCUGAAUUCUCGGAUGAAUUCCAUCUGCUUCAAUACCUUUCUUUCUCAAAUUUCCAGCAAUAGAAAAAGCAAGGACCUUGGACCCAACCAAACAAACACAAAGAAAAACAUAAGCUCUGUUUCUUUCACAGAGAGCAUGUGAUAGUCUCUCUGCCAAAGUCCACCAAACCAACAUCUCUCAGCCGCCAACAAACCAGUUUUUCUUCCCCUCCAAACCAACAAACUAGAUCAUGUAGCCGCUGGCGAUCUCGAGCAGCUCAAAGCUUUGGCCAUGCACGGUUGAAUAAUAUGCAAGAAUUUGAUGAAGAUCGACGCAAUAAACUUUGGGAGCUACAGCCCAUGAUCUCACUCCUGAGAAGGCUAUCAACAUCGCCUCCACUACUCAUGGAGCCGACCAAUUCUUGUGUAGGGUCACAGAGACUUUUGGCCUUGGCCCAACAGCUCCGUCACGAACCUUGCAGAGAGGGCUGGGCUUGUUGAGCACGGACCUGGCUCUGAUGGCGGACGAGAGGACAAAGCCACUUGUGGAUCUCUACGCGUCGAACGAAAAAAAAAAAAAAAAAGUUUUUGAGGAUUUUGCUCAGUCUAUGAUCAAGGUUAGCCUUCUUAUGGGAUCGACUAUGAAGGCCAUGGAGAUCGCGCUCCGGGUCGCUGAGGUGGAUCCUCGAAGACAACCACUUUGGCCUCCUCUGGAACUAAAGAUGAUGAUAAUGAUGAUGAUCAGUGUUCAUCCCAAAACAACAACAAUAAUAGCAUGAACUUGCAACUUGCAAGUGGGCCGUGAGUUUGCUUUCCAAAAUGACAAGUGCAAACAAAAAUUGGCUGGCCUGUCUGUCGGAUAAACAAAAAUUAUUUUACUGAUUGACAGCCACCCACUUGGUCUCUUAGUUUUGGAAUCUUAACGUGCACUUCGGUCGGGGUAAAUAUGACUUCUACUUUAUAAAAUGAUUUAAUAUAAUACCAUACUAUUUGAUUGUGGUGUUGAUAUGAACCCACAAAUAA